GUCCCUUGGGGGAGAUUCGAUAAAAUUGGAUUGAUACAGAGAAGAUUAGCAUAGCCCCUGCGAAAGGAUGACACGUACAAAUUGUAGUGUAUGAGAAACUUCAU
rnacentral:snRNA from 2 species